rnacentral:rRNA from 1 species
AUGAACGCUGGCGGCGUGCCUAAUACAUGCAAGUCGAGCGAACGGACGAGAAGCUUGCUUUUCUGAUGUUAGCGGCGGACGGGUGAGUAACACGUGGAUAACCUACCUAUAAGACUGGGAUAACUUCGGGAAACCGGAGCUAAUACCGGAUAAUAUUUUGAACCGCAUGGUUCAAAAGUGAAAGACGGUCUCGCUGUCACUUAUAGAUGGAUCCGCGCUGCAUUAGCUAGUUGGUAAGGUAACGGCUUACCAAGGCAACGAUGCAUAGCCGACCUGAGAGGGUGAUCGGCCACACUGGAACUGAGACACGGUCCAGACUCCUACGGGAGGCAGCAGUAGGGAAUCUUCCGCAAAGGGCGAAAGCCUGACGGAGCAACGCCGCGUGAGUGAUGAAGGUCUUCGGAUCGUAAAACUCUGUUAUUAGGGAAGAACAUAUGUGUAAGUAACUGUGCACAUCUUGACGGUACCUAAUCAGAAAGCCACGGCUAACUACGUG